UUCCCAAUAAUGUCUAAAGACUCUAAAGUCCCAAGGGGAAUAAGUAGCCACAAAUUUAAAGGCCCAUCAAAACCUAAAAUACCCACAUCGUCCCGCAUUCCUGUUUGUGUCCAGUGUCCACCACGCGUCUUUUUGCACUUGUCCGCUCUUCACGAGGAAGCAAUGGAUUUUUUGUUCAAGGGAGUAAAUGAAGACACAUCUGAUUUUCUAUUUGAUGAGAAGAACGUUCAGAGAUGCCCAUUUCUUCGGAACAUCAACAAGCCAACUAGCUUUUCACUAUUUUCAGUGAAUUUUCCCAGUCCUGUGAGGGGAGCCAAAGGUCCAAUAUUUGAAGAUGGUCCUAAUUUUGAUAUGGCAUUUAAGCUGUUUCAUGGGAAAGAUGGGGUUGUUCCGCUCUCAAACAGGUCUAAUUUCCGUAAUGACAUUUUGGAACAUGACUCUACACCCCACUUCAACCCCUUAGCAGCAAAAGCUGCCACUAUUAGUUUAUCUGCAUUUGGUCAAGGUGGACCAUUUGGCUUUGGUUCCUUCAAUGAUAAGCGGAAGAAUCAGAAGAAGAAAUCUGACUCCACCAACAAAAAUGAUCCAUCUUCUCAGAAAGGAAAUACCUCAAAACAUGAGGCACUGGGAAAUGAGUGGUUAGAAACAGGAAACUGUCCAAUUGCUAAAUCUUAUAGAGCUGUUAGUCGCGUACUACCACUUGUGGCAUCAACUUUUCAAUUGCCACCUGGUGUGAAGCUUAGAUGUCCACCUGCUGUAGUUGCUGCAAGGGCUGCCCUUGCACAGACUGCCCUCGUUAAAACCUUGCGACCGCAGCCACUACCUGCGAAGAUGUUUGUCAUUGCUCUCUUGGGCAUGGCAGCAAAUGUUCCCUUGGGCGUGUGGAAGGAACAUACUAAGAAGUUUUCACUAUCAUGGUUUGCUGCAGUGCAUGCAGCCGUGCCCUUCAUAGCUAUGCUUAGGAAGUCUGUUGUGAUGCCCAAAACUGCUAUGGCACUGACUAUUGGAGCUUCUAUCCUGGGGCAGGUUAUUGGUUCUAGAGCUGAGAGGCACCGUCUCAAAGCAGCAGCUGAAAGGAAUAGCAUAGCAGCACAGACAGCAAUUGCUGCUGCAUUGGCAGGGUAUAGUUCGACCCAGGUUGGUAGCAUUACAGGUGGUCACUGUGGUACAGAAGGGAUGACAUGGGAUCCACUCUAUAUCAAGGCUGCUGGACCCACAUCUUCAUCAAAUGAUGUGUGUUGCUAGCAUCACAAGCUGCAACUAGAGAUUGAAAUAAAACUUACAUACGGUAUCAAUAGCUGGUGAUGGUUAAAUCUGCAGUUCGGUAGAAGAUAGAGCAAUGGCCAUCUCUAGCCGACUUAUGGAAGUCCCAGGAAGAAAAAGAAGAGAAGAAAUGAUAGACAAAGGAGGGAAUAAACAUUAGGACCAAGAGAUUUGGCGAAUGUCGUCGUGUGAAUGUGUGAUCCCAAUAUACAUUUGUGUAUGUGUGAACCCAAUUUACAUUUUGAAAGCCUUUAAUAAUUGCAAAUAAAUUGGUUGAAUGAUAAAUGAAAGAACCGUAUGUAUCACCAUGA